rnacentral:tRNA from 1 species
GGAAGCGUGCCCGAGAAUAGGGGCUACUUUGAUAGAGUAAAUACAGAGCAAUUAACCUCUCUCUUCC